UCCUUCCCCGUCCGGACACGCAAAGAAAGUGAAUUGCUUCCCUUGGUGUGUGUGUGUUGUCUCCGAGGAGCUUCUCCGCUCCUGCUCCUGACUCAAGUCUCCCGUAAAAGCAAUAUACCUAUAUGGAAAGAAAUUAAAAUUCAAAUUCAAGCAAUCAACGUUCACAAUAUACAUAGUUGCUCAUUUCAAAUAUUGGAUGGCUGAUUGUCCACAUUCUUUUCUGGAGAGGAACAGUAACAAGGAGUGAUGAACUUCAAUUUCCCUUCAAUAUUAUUACUCUCUUUUUCGGUUCAAAUGACUCCGGGGACUCGGAUGAGCUGCUUUUGCAGAACUCAGAGGGGGAAAUUAAUGGAAAUGAUCUCAUUAACUUUUACACGGAUCCCAAAGUAGCAACUCAGAAUUUAAUCAUCAGUGGUGGGUUUACUUUAUUUACGUUACUCCUAUGGAUCAUUCCAACAUUCUUUUGGAGUGGUCGACCCCUGCCCACAAAAAAUACGGAUUCUCGUGUAUCACGUUUAUAUAACAUCAUUGACCAUGUUCGUAGCGGAGGGAACUCUGUGGAUAUCUACAAUAGACUAUUGUGUCCGCAAUGUGUAUCCGUGAUUAUAUCUAUCAACGUUCUUUUGUUUUUAGGUAAAUGGAUUUUUUGGUCUGUUUUGAGUGAACUACCAGAUUCUCCUGCUUUUGGAGUUCCAAAUGAUGCAAGUCGUAGCUUGAAGGACGAUGAUGAGUCUUUGGGCAUGGCUCUUUUAAAUGAUGCUAUUGAUAACUUUUUGAACACUCUGGAUGUCAAUGUGAACAACAUCAUCAAAGAUAUCGAGACAAGAGAUAAGCAAUAUGUAUAGUAGUUAGCUAAACAACUUUAUAGGCUUUAUAAAGUUUAUAUUG
rnacentral:misc_RNA from 1 species